UGCCUCUAACAGACAAGAAGUUUUGGCUUGUUUUCUCUGAGUUUCGGGCCAUAGUAGCAAAGACAGAAAAAUGGCACCUCCUGUUACCAGUUCUCAGCCCCAGUAUCCUCUGUGAGACAUGCCAGGGAUCCAAAAUUUAGUAUCACUGAUUGAAAGAAACUAUGGACCCAUGGUCUGGGGAUUCUGGAGAGAAAAUAUCUGUGGUGAAGAACACUUCUCCUUUCAGUGAAAUUCACCAGGGCUUUGGUUAAGAAUCAUCCUGGUUGUCAUGUGGAGUCAAGAGUGGAAUGCUGAGGGUCGAGAACAAAGGCAGGAAGAAGGCCCACAGAAGAGAUGCAGGGUUCUUGGCAAAGCAAGAGAUGGGGGAGAUGACUCGUUGGAUCUGAGAUGCCCGUGGGGCACACAGGUGGAG
rnacentral:lncRNA from 1 species